AAUAAUAAUAAUGCUCUUCAGAUAAUCAGAAAGAGAAAUAACUCAGAAAUGGAGCAUGAGAUAUGGGAAAUAAAAGAGCACGGGCAAUUAAGAAGCAAUGAAGUACAUAGUUGGCAUGGUUCUUGAUAAAUGCAGAGAUGUGACAUUGCAGAAUGGAAGAGACGUGGGGUCAAGAAUCUUGCUAAGGAAAACAGAAGAACAAAUAAAUGACAAAUAAAAAGAAUGAGCAAGUGAAACACAGAAGUUAGAGAAGCAUCUCUUAUUCAGACUCCAUAGGCAGAGGUUUUAUGCAAACUGCAGUGAUUAGUAUUUUACUUUAUAUAGGAAACUUUUAUUUCUUCAAUAAAGUGACUCUUAUUUCCAAAAAGAUGGUAUUUUCUUUCUC